GAGGGUAUAGUUCAGUGGUAGAGUGCAUACUUAGCAUGCAUGAGGUCUGGGGUUCAAGCCCCAGCACCUCCA
rfam:Camelus ferus unplaced genomic scaffold scaffold290, whole genome shotgun sequence.